rnacentral:rRNA from 1 species
GUGGGGAAUCUUCCGCAAUGGACGAAAGUCUGACGGAGCGACGCCGCGUGAGUGAAGAAGGCCUUCGGGUCGUAAAGCUCUGUCAUCAGGGACGAACGGCCGGUGGAGUGGAAAGCCACCGGAUUGACGGUACCUGAGAAGGAAGCCACGGCUAACUACGUGCCAGCAGCCGCGGUAAUACGUAGGUGGCAAGCAUUGUCCGGAAUUAUUGGGCGUAAAGCGCGCGCAGGUGGGAUCUUAAGUCCAUUUUUAAAGUUCGGAGCUCAACUCCGUGAUGGGAUGGAAACUGGGAUUCUUGAGUACCGGAGAGGAAAGCGGAAUUCCCCGUGUAGCGGUGAAAUGCGUAGAUAUGGGGAGGAACACCAGUGGCGAAGGCGGCUUUCUGGACGGUGUCUGACACUGAGGCGCGAAAGCCAGGGGAGCGAACGGGAUUAGAUACCCGGGUAGUCC